GGGCGUAAGCGCGCGCAGGCGGUUUCUUAAGUCUGAUGUGAAAGCCCCCGGCUCAACCGGGGAGGGUCAUUGGAAACUGGGAAACUUGAGUGCAGAAGAGGAAAGUGGAAUUCCAAGUGUAGCGGUGAAAUGCGUAGAGAUUUGGAGGAACACCAGUGGCGAAGGCGACUUUCUGGUCUGUAACUGACGCUGAGGCGCGAAAGCGUGGGGAGCAAACAGGAUUAGAUACCCUGGUAGUCCACGCUGUAAACGAUGAGUGCUAAGUGUUAGAGGGUUUCCGCCCUUUAGUGCUGAAGUUAACGCAUUAAGCACUCCGCCUGGGGAGUACGGUCGCAAGACUGAAACUCAAAGGAAUUGACGGGGGCCCGCACAAGUGGUGGAGCAUGUGGUUUAAUUCGAAGCAACGCGAAGAACCUUACCAGGUCUUGACAUCCUCUGACAACCCUAGAGAUAGGGCUUUCCCUUCGGGGACAGAGUGACAGGUGGUGCAUGGUUGUCGUCAGCUCGUGUCGUGAGAUGUUGGGUUAAGUCCCGCAACGAGCGCAACCCUUGAUCUUAGUUGCCAGCAUUUAGUUGGGCACUCUAAGGUGACUGCCGGUGACAAACCGGAGGAAGGUGGGGAUGACGUCAAAUCAUCAUGCCCCUUAUGACCUGGGCUACACACGUGCUACAAUGGAUAGUACAAAGGGUUGCAAGACCGCGAGGUGGAGCUAAUCCCAUAAAACUAUUCUCAGUUCGGAUUGUAGGCUGCAACUCGCCUACAUGAAGCC
rnacentral:rRNA from 2 species